CAACAGGCGUUUCCCAUUUGCACGCCCGCUUGUCCUAUAUGAAUGGAUAUGCAUUCUCGCUGCGAAUAAUCGGGUAAAGUCUGCCGAGCGAACUUGACAAGCCUUAACAAAACUGAGCAAAGAAAUACGAGCUAUGCUUAACAAGGGAUGAUUACCGGUGGCCCAGACAUCGCCGACUAAAGCAGUGUCUUUAUCUGUCAACAAGGUCUGAUAUAAAAAUGCCACCUUGAUCCAAUGUGUCCCCCAUGGAUAAUUCAGCUGUAUCCUAAAAGUUGACACACUGUAACCAUAGCAGCUUAAUCGAAUAUCAAACUGCAUACUUGCAUAUAACGCGAUUGCACCGAUUCAACCAAAAAGAUUUUACUAUGAUCUUACAAUUAAUGUAAGAGAUCACAAAUUUGUCAUUCAAUAUACAGCUGAAUAACGAAGGCUUUAUCGGUCUCAGCUGAAUCUUGUAAAACUGGAUAUGUAUAUAUAAAUUCAUAUCGAAAAUAUUAUUUAAACACUAAGAUCCGUAAGCUCAGAUCAGU